rnacentral:rRNA from 1 species
GAUGAACGCUGGCGGCGUGCCUAAUACAUGCAAGUCGAGCGAACGGACGAGAAGCUUGCUUCUCUGAUGUUAGCGGCGGACGGGUGAGUAACACGUGGAUAACCUACCUAUAAGACUGGGAUAACUUCGGGAAACCGGAGCUAAUACCGGAUGAUAUUUUGAACCGCAUGGUUCAAAAGUGAAAGACGGUCUUGCUGUCACUUAUAGAUGGAUCCGCGCUGCAUUACCUAGUUGGUAAGGUAACGGCUUACCAAGGCAACGAUGCAUAGCCGACCUGAGAGGGUGAUCGGCCACACUGGAACUGAGACACGGUCCAGACUCCUACGGGAGGCAGCAGUAGGGAAUCUUCCGCAAUGGGCGAAAGCCUGACGGAGCAACGCCGCGUGAGUGAUGAAGGUCUUCGGAUCGUAAAACUCUGUUAUUAGGGAAGAACAUAUGUGUAAGUAACUGUGCACAUCUUGACGGUACCUAAUCAGAAAGCCACGGCUAACUACGUG